rnacentral:antisense_RNA from 1 species
GUUUAUGUGGCGGUACUUUGGGACAUCGUAAGAUGUGCUGUUACCCAGUGAAACAGUCUGCUAACCCGAAGUAUCGCCACGCCUAU